GACGAACGCUGGAGGCGUGCUUAACACAUGCAAGUCGAACGAUGAAAUGGAGCUUGCUCCAUGGAUUAGUGGCGAACGGGUGAGUAACACGUGAAUAACCUGCCCCUAAUUUUGGAAUAACCCAGGGAAACCUGGGCUAAUACCGGAUAAGUAAACCUGUGGCAUCACAUGGUUUUGGAAAGUUUUUCGAUUAAGGAUGGAUUCGCGGCCUAUCAGCGUGUUGGUGAGGUAAUGGCUAACCAAGGCGACGACGGGUAGACGGCCUGAGAGGGUGAACGGCCACACUGGGACUGAGACACGGCCCAGACUCCUACGGGAGGCAGCAGUGGGGAAUAUUGCGCAAUGGACGAAAGUCUGACGCAGCGACGCCUCGUGAGGGACGAAGGUCUUCGGAUUGUAAACCUCUUUCAGCAGGGACGAAGCGAAAGUGACGGUACCUGCAGAAGAAGCACCGGCUAACUAUGUGCCAGCCGCCGCGGUAA
rnacentral:rRNA from 1 species